UACGGAGGAUCCAAGCGUUAUCCGGAUUUACUGGGUUUAAAGGGUGCGUAGGUGGAAUGACAAGUCAGUGGUGAAAACCUAUAGCUUAACUAUAGAACUGCCAUUGAUACUGUUAUUCUUGAGUGUAUUUGAUGUAAGUGGAAUGUGUCAUGUAGCGGUGAAAUGCUUAGAUAUGACACAGAACACCCAUUGCGAAGGCAGCUUACAAAACUACAACUGACACUGAGGCACGAAAGCCAGGGGAGCGAACGGG
rnacentral:rRNA from 1 species